AUGUCAUUACGUAAUUUUUGCACGGUUUGCAAAAUACCCUUCGAGGGCAGCUUAGAGGAACCACAUCGUAAAGAUGUGGAUGGUUUUAUUGAUACUAUUACUGUAGGGGAAUCGAGGAAGGUUUCCGAUGCGAGAAUUACUAGCAUACAUUUUCCUGUUUUACGCUACUUUGCCAUAUUUGCUAGUCGAUGCCUAAUUGGUCGCGGAAACUGUAGAAACCUCAUUGUCCCUGAUAUCAUUAUUUUGUUCCAUGCCUUAUUUUGUGACAACUCUUUUAGUAUGGGUGCCGUUAUUGCUAAACGAUUAAGUCUGAACCGUACAAAGGGCCCUAUCUUUGGAGGUGUCUAUGCUACGCGCCUUGCUAAACAUUUUAACAUACCUAUUAGGCGUUAUGAGAAAGAAGAAAAGUUGCUACCUUCUGUUUUUCUAGAUUAUAAGAGCAUGGUAGCACAUGAGUUUAUAGUUAGCAAUGAUGAUAAGAUGCUUCUGUAUAAUUUGAGAUUUAAUAAGAAACACAAUGAGAUUAUUAUCUUGCCUGUGCCCUCUUUGUUUGAUUUAACUGCAGGCCCUUAA
rnacentral:rRNA from 1 species